rnacentral:rRNA from 1 species
CUUUCUUCUACACGUCUCCUCUCCACUCCAUCCCCACGUCCACCCACCGUCCCACCCCUACAAUGGAUUCUCUCCCGCCGCCGCCGCCGUCGCUGCCGCCGUUUGGCUCGCUGCUCCUGCCCUUGCCAUCCGAUUCGUCACUGCCCUCUCUCCCUUGGCCUGACCUCAUCGCCGGUGCGGCCGGCGCCACCCUCCGCCUCGUCUCCGCCCACUCACGCCACUUCCUCGCCCUCUCCUGCCUCCUCCUCCUGCCGCUCUCGCUCCUCCUCCUCUCCCUCCCCGCGCCCUUCCCCGGCGCCUCUCCUUCCGUCUCCCUCCGAUCCCCGCAAGAUUCUUGGAGCAACCCCCUCUUGCUUCUCGCUCUCGUGGCGGCGGCGCUUCUUUACCUCGCCGCCUUCGCCGCCGCCGCCGCCAGCGCGCACGCCGGAUUCUUCGGCCGCCCCGUCAAGCUCCUCGCCUCGCUCCUCUCCGUUCCCGCGUCCGUUCUCCGCCUCCUCCUCACAGCCCUCCCGGCCUCCCCUCUUCUGCUUAUCCCCCUGCUCCCACUGCCCGCUGCACUUAGCACAGCUAUUGCUCUUCUUGGCGUCUCCCUCUUAGCCCCCUUCUGGUCCCUCGCCGGCGCCGCAGCCAUCGUGGAGUCCGCUGCUGGGCCCUCCGCGCUCCGCCAGAGCUGCCGGCUGCUCUCCGGCGCACGCCUGGCGGCGCUCUCGGCGUUCUUGGUCUUUGCCGCAGGCAUGGGGGUAGUACUCUGGGGUUUCAGUGGGGUGGCCAUGGAGACAUAUGAUGCUGCCACCGGUUGGGCUGGCAUGGCGCCGGCUGUGGUCAAGGCCAUGGUUGGAGCGGCGGUGUUGGCUGCAAUGAUGCUGUAUGGAAUGGUGAUCAACGUGGUAUUGUAUAUGCACUGCCGUGCGCUGCAUGGGGAGCUCACUGGAGAGAUCUACAAUGAAUUUGCAAGCUCAUAUGUCUACCUGCCGUUCGACGAGGGCAAGGAUCGUCAUAUUGUAUCGGUGGUCACACUGUGGCCUUGAUUGUCUAUCGCGCUAUCUGGUUAAUGGUGAGUUUAUACAUUCCAAGCACAGUUUUGACCACAGUCCUGAUGACUAUGUGUUCGUUGCUGUUCCUCUCUGCAUAAGUGUGUGUUCCACCGUGCAAAUGUUAAGAUGAAAUAGUGUCUUCUUAGCCUCAGAUGCGGUGCUCUUAACAUAAAAGUGUCUGUUAUAUGUAGGCUGUUGUAUCAGUAUUACUGAAUAGCAAACCAGUACUUAUGUGGAUGGUUUACCUCAGAACAACAUAGUGGUAUAUAUCAGGGAUGACUGAAAAGUCUGUUCCAGUUAAAAGAGUCUGGGUUGGAAUUGCUUCAGUGUUUAGAAUGCAUUUUGCUUGAAUGGUACAGUGAGGUGUUUGUAACACUGCUGGAGAAAAUAAAUUCUUGAUAGUUUCAGAAUUCAGACAUACCAAAAGCACAUUUGUUUGAUUAAUUUACCAUGGGCGUGAAGCAGAAGUUGUACAAUUUCAGAUGCCAUUGAAUGCAAAUGUAAUCUGCGAAACAACAUCAUGCAUUAUCUUCAUUGCAAUUUUCUUCAUUCAGAGA